CCUACGGGACGCAGCAGUCGGGAAUAUUGCGCAAUGGAGGAAACUCUGACGCAGUGACGCCGCGUAUAGGAAGAAGGUUUUCGGAUUGUAAACUAUUUUCGUGAGGGAAGAAAUUGACAGUACCUCAGGAGGAAGCUCCGGCUAACUACGUGCCAGCAGCCGCGGUAAUACGUAGGUGGCGAGCGUUAUCCGGAAUGAUUGGGCGUAAAGGGUGCGUAGGCGGCCUGCUAAGUCUGGAGUGAAAGGUACCGGCUCAACCGGUACAGGCUCUGGAAACUGGCGGGCUAGAGAGCAGGAGAGGGCGG
rnacentral:rRNA from 1 species